AGGUCAGCCACCUGCAGCCAAGGAGAGAGGCCUCUGAGGAAACCAACCCUGCCAGCACUUUGAUCUUGAACUUCCAGCCUCCAGAACUGUGAGAAAGUAUAUUCCUGUUGUUUAAGCCACCCAGUCUAUGGCAUUUUGUUUUGGCAGCUUUAGCAGACUAAUAUACUUCCCCAUUCCCCCACAGUGCUUCCUGGGGUCAAUUCUCAGAUAAAUGAUUUGCACUUUAAUCCUUAUCUCAGGGGCCAGGUGGGAGGGGGCUCACGCCUGUAAUCCCAGCACUUUGGGAAGCCGAGGUGGGCAGAUCACCUGAGGUCAGGAGUUCAAGAGCAGCCUGACCAACAUAGUGAAACAUCGUCUCCACUAACUUUACAAAAUGUAGCUGGGUGGGGCGGCACAUUGCUGUAGUCCCAGCUACUCAGGAGGCUGAGGCAGGAGAAUCCCUUGAACCCGGGAGGUGGAGGUUGCAGUGAACUGAGAUCGUGCCACUGCACUACAGCCUGGGUGACAGAGUGACUUCGUCUAAAAAAAAAAAAAUUAUCUCAGGAAACCAACUCGCAGACCAACAACGCAUAUAUGGUGGGACAUAGACCCCAAGUAAGAGUGAAGCGAAGACUCAACUUUAACCACCACCCUCUAAGUUUCUUUUGAGGAGCUUGGAGAACGUCACUCCCUGUGGGUCUAAGUGGUACAGGCGCUAAAAAAUUAUUUAGGCAGAUAGUGAGGGUAAGGAAGUCCUCGGCUGUUUCCCUUUUAACAAAAAGCAGUCCCUAAAUCAUUUAUUUUCUAACAAAGAGCAGCCUGUAAAAUCGAGCUGCAGACAUAGAUAAGCAAGCUGGAAGCUUGCAUGGGUGAAUGCAGCAGCUGUGCCAAUAGGAAAAGGCUACGUGGCGGCCAGGCAUGUUCAACAUGGCGGCUCCAUCUUCCCUUUUCUUUGUCAACUAGGUGUACAGUAAGGAACCGACAACAUCACACCGGCCAGGUAGAGAAGCCAUUUGCAUAAUAGAAGAUUAGGGUGGGGUGGCCAGCUUCUUUGCGCGCUUUGUAAACAUCACACCUAGUCCACCAAUCUUUGGGCCCUAUGUAAAUUAGACAACACCUCCUCAAGCCAGUCUAUAAACCCUCCCCUCCCCGCACAUGCAUUUCACCGCAAAACCCAAAGACCCACUUAGGUGUCCCCUCUCUCCGCAGAAGAGAGAGCUUUUCCCUUUCUCUCUGUUAAACCUCUUCUCUUAAACUCACUUCUUGCGUGUCCUCGUCCUCGAUUUCCUUGGCGUAAGACGACGAACCUCAGGCAUUUACCCCAGACAACGAAGGUGCUUCAUAAGGUCAUGCAGCUGGGUCAACAUAGGACUGUGUAGCCAAGAGCUACAGGAUGGAUUGCUGAGGCCAGGGAGAUUGAAAGGAAGUCACAGCCCAAUCUCAGAGGGAUCCACGGAGCCAGCGAAAGCUAAGGCGGGACUUACCCAACAGAGGGUCCUGGCCCAGUCACCCAGUGGCACAACCCAACUGGGAGAUCUGAGCAUCUACCAACUGUGGCCACCAGUGAGAUGGUGUCAUUGUCUGGGAGGCCAGCAGAAGUCUCAGUGAUCGGGCAGGACAAAGGACAUUUCUGCAGAGAAUACUGAAGGUCCAGGAGACAGCACAGUGGGACAUAUGUGGGCCCCUGCCCCAUCAUUAGGAGGAAGUGUAGGCUUUUCUGAGGACCUGGAUGCCAUACCAUCUUGAGACAGAGAAUGAGGAACCAACCCUUGACAAGAGAGAGAUGGCCCUGGUAGAGAAUUUGAACCUUGAAUUGGAUUGAAUAUUUAUCCAAAAGAAAUUGAACCAGCACUAGAGAGACUGUUUUGAACUAGAAGUAACCAAGUUACCUUAACUGGAAGUUAGGAUUUUUCCACCCCUGACAUCAGUGGGACAAGGGCACAUGAGCAAGAUAUUUACGGACAAAGAAGAACGUUCAUGUUUUGUACACCUGCUUUGUAGUAUGUUGCAGAUACCGUUGGUUCCCCUGAUUUCAGGUGUUCUCGUUCUUUCUGUACAGUCACUUGCUCAGGGCAAAUGGUCCUCUCCUGCAUGACUCAGAAGCACAUACUGAUUAUUCUAAACUGGUCUUCAUGCCCCGUUCCCUUGUCAGUGAUGUAGUUAGGCAAAGGAUUAUGUAACAAUUCUGGCUAUGAGACAUUGAAACUUCUACUGUGGGGCAUCUGGGAAGAUUUUUCUCAUUGAAAAGAAGAGACGCAGGGUGUGGAGACUCAUGCCUGUAAUCCGAGCCCUUGGGAGGCCCAGGAGGGAGGGUCACCUGAGUCCAAGAGCUCAAGGCCAGUUCGAGCAACAUACCAAGGCUGCAAUAAACAAGCAAACAAACAAACAAACAUUAGCUGGGCACGGUAGUGCACACCUGUAGUCCCAGCUACUCAGGAGGCUGAAAUGGGAGGAUUGCUUGAGCCCAGGAGUUUGAGGCUGCAGUGAGCUAUGAUUGCACCACUGCACUUCAGCCUGGGCAACAGAGCGAGAUCCUGUCUCUAUAAAAAAAUUUUAAAAAAAGGAAGAAAAGAAAAGAAGAGACACACGUGGAAGAAACAGUCUCUAUUCUGAUGCAAGUAAUGACUGGAACUGUGGCAGACAGCUUGGAACCAUGAGAGGAGUUAACUGAGGGCUAUCAGGGAAACUAGAAGAAGCCUGGGUCCUUGAGGAGGCAGACUACUAAAUGGACCAUCGUCCCUUCACCCUUUUUGUUAUGUGAGAUAAUAAACUCUCUAAUUUAAAUCUACUUGAGAUGAAUAUCUGAUACUUGUAGCCAAAAUCAUCCUUAAUGGGACAGAGUGUGGGUAAAUUAUCAACCUUGCUAGCCUUGCCUCAUAAUUUUUGAAUUUAUUUUUAUCUUUUAAUUUUGUUUAUUUUUUAUUUUUAAAGUAGAGACAGGAUCUCAUUAUGUUGCUCAGGCUGGUCUCGAAUCCCUGGCCUCAAGGGAUCCUCCUGCCUCAGCCUCCUAAAGUGCUGAGAUUACAGGUAUGAGCCCCUAUGCCAGGCCAUUGCUUUGCCAUUGUAUCCAUGUGAUUGCAAAAAAGAAAAUCGUGCUAAUAGUCAUUAGCUUUGAAAGACACUUGGAAUUUCUUCCUUCAAGCGAGCUUUAUUCCCAAACUGUUGAACCCUCUGGGUUUGACAGCAGGAUCUACUUCACAUGGUAGCAUCUCCUUCUAUUUGCCUUCAAGACAUUUCCUAAGGGAAGAGAUGAAGACACACUUGUAACGUGAACAAAAUAAUCCUUUUUCCUUUUAAAAAUGUAUGAUUAAAAUGUAAAAUAUAUAUAUAUAUUCUUAAAUGUAAAAUAUAUAUAUAUAUCUUCUAGAGUUGCCUGGAAAGUGAGCUGAGAGCAGUUAAACAUCAAACCCACUGCUGCUUUCCAGCUUUAACCAGAAUCACCAUUGUCUUUCCCUAUGAAAGAAAGGAAAUCUUAGAACUUAAAAGGAUUUCAAGAAGAACUGAAUUUUAACCACUGAGAUGACCAGAGAUGUAAGGCUCACACUGACUGAAGCAGUAUAAUUUGGCUGUCUUUUUAACAUUCAGAAUUCUCUCUGACUCUCCAAAAUUGCAUCUACUUUGAUGAGCUUAUUUUUUUCCUCAACCAAAUUACAUUUCUUGGAGUUCACCUGAUACAUCAUGCCUACUUACUUUUUUUUUUAGAUGGAGUCUUGCUCUGUCACCCAGGCUGGAGUGCAGUGGUGCAAUCUCGGCUCAUUGCAACCUCUGCCUCCCAGGUUCAAGUGAUUCUCCUGCCUCAGCCCCCCAAGUAGCUGGGAUUACAGGUGCGUGCCACCACGCCCAGCUAAUUUUUGUAUUUUUAGUAGAGACAGGGUUUCGCCAUGUUGGUCAGGCUGGUCUCGAACUCCUGACCUCAAGUGACCCACCUGCCUUGGCCUCCCAAAGCGCUGGGAUUACAGGGGUAAGCCACCAUGUCCAGCCCUGCCUACUUACUUUGAACAAAUUAUUUCAGGCUAAUUUACUAGCUGGAGAGAAAGAGGGAGGGAAGCAGGGAGGAAGCAAAGAUAGAGGGAGAGAAAGAGAGGGAGACAGAGAGGAAGAGGGAGAGGGAGAGGAGAGAGAGAGAAAGAAUGAAUUGUGUUCUCCCAAAAUUAGUAUGUUGAAGUCUUAAUAUCCCAGUACCUCAGACUAUGACUGUAUCUGUAGAUAGGGCUUUUGAAAAGGUGAUUAUGUUUAAAUGAGGCCAUUGGGGUGGGCCCUAAUCCAGUCCAACUGUUGUCAUUGUAAGAAGAAGAGAUUAGGACACAGAGAUACCAGGCAUGUGCGUGCCCAGACAGACAACUAUGUGAAGAGACAACAAUAGGUCAGCCAUCUGCAAGCUGAGGAGAGAGGCCUCAGAGGAAACCAACCCUGCCGGCACCUUGAUCUUGGAGUUCCAGCCUCCAGAACUGUGAGAAAAUGUAUUCCUGUUGUUGAAGCCAUUUCUGUUGUUCUGUGGCAUUUUGUUAUGGCAGCCCUAGCAAACUAAUAUGAUAAUUAACUCUUCCAAGUGCUGUUUCCAUUACAAAGUAUCCCAGAAUUUUAUAUUGGUGAAUCUGUGUUCCUCAGGCCAUGUCUUCCCUGUUGGAAAUGCUGUUAUUAUGUCCCAAGGUGACUUCAAGGAGUGGGUUAGAGGCUGAGACAGAGGGUGUGAGAUCGUCACUACUGUAACCUUGCUUUGUUCAGUAUGAACAUGCUCAGAUAUUCUCUGUUUUGUAUUGGGAGAUCGGGAAAGGAUUUAUUGAAAAAAUGUUUCCAUUAGCAAAUGAAGUUUGAAGGCAACUACCGUCUACAAGAGCAAACAAAUGCAUAAAAUUCAAAUAUUAUUUUGUCCCAACCUCAGUGUCAUGAGGGUCUCUUAUACAGAAUAGUAGAUGAGAAUAAAAUUUGAAUUGAUAAUACUGGAAUAGAGUAGUCAUUAUGCAAUGUAACAAACCUCAAAUAUUCAGUGGUUUAACACUAUAGAUGUUUAUUUACCACUCAUUCAAUGUAUGUGUUCCUUGUUAGCAGUAGUUUUCCUUGUAGUCAUUCAGGAAUCCAGGCAUAUUAGUUAUCUAUUUCUGUGUACCCCAUAAAAACCAUUUAUUAUUGCACACUUUCAGAGGGUCAGUAAUUUGGGAGUGGCUUAGCUGGGGUGUUCUGACCAGAGUCUCUCUUGAGGUUGUAGUCAAGAUGUUGGCUAGGGUUGCCAUCAUCUGAAAGCUUGACUGGGACUGUAUCCACUUUCAAGAUGGCGCACUUACUUGGCUGUUGGCAGGAAGCCUCAAUGACUUAUCAUGUGGUCUUCUCCACAGUGCUGCUUGAGCAUCCACACAACAUGGCGCUAGCUUCCCCCAGAGUGAGUAAUCCAGAAUGAAGAAGACAGAAACCACAAUAUCCUUUAUGAACUGGCCUUAUAAGUAAUAUUUUGUCAUUUCCAUAAAGUCCUAUUGGUUACACAAGACUGCCGUAUUCAAUAUAAGAGUGACAACACAUGGGGAUAAAUACUUGGAGGUGUAAAUCAUUGGGAACCAUCCUGGAAGUUGCCUACAAUACUAGGAUCUAUGGCUACAAUUCCCUGGGUCUUGGCUUCAAGACAGAGAAAAGGGAAAGAACAUGAAACAGCCCCAUGUGGUUUUUGUUUUUUUUUUAAUGGACAAGAGUAAGAAAUGGUGAACAUUUCUUCUACUCAUAUUCUACAGUUAGAAUUUGGUCACAUAAUGUAUCUAACUAUGAAGGUAGCUAGGUAAUAUCAUCUCUUGUUGGGAGGGUAGCUGGGAAUACCUCUAUACAAUGGAAGGAAGAGCAUGAACUUUUGGUGGAGAGAUAAUGCUCUCUGCCAUGAUAAAAUGAAAAAAAUAACAUAUGCAGAAUGGUCAACAUAACAGCAUGAAGCAAAUGCACAAUGAAUGAUAAUCAUAAUAUAGUGCUCUUUUGAUAAUCUAGUGCAUACCCAGAACCUGGGAGGUAUUUGGUUUUAAUACAUGUUUGUUGUAUGAAUACGUGAGUUAAGGUAAUGGAUGCAAAAAUGGUAUAAAUAGGAGGAAUUAUAAUUGAUAUUUCUUGAGUUAGCAUGUUUCAUUGGCUAUCUUUAUGGAGGUCCAGACCCUCCUCCGAAGGUGGAUAUUACUGUUCCGAUUUCAAUUGGUCAAAUAGAGACCAAGAGACUUUAGGCAACUUGUUUUAGAUUUGGCACUGAAUGGCGGGAAAGUGCAGAUUUUCUGAGUACUAUGUCUGGGCUCUUUGCUAUAAGCACUAUUGAUUUGAAUGGAUAAGAACAGAAAAGUCCUUUGCUCAGAGGAGAAUCAGGGCCACUGUAUCAGUCAGGGUCCAAUCAAGAGGCAGAAACUAUACCAGUUAUUUAAUUUCAUUUAUUUAUUUAUUAUUAUUUUUUAGAGAUGUGGUCUUGCUGUGUUGCUCAGGCUGUUCUCGAACUCCUGGGCUCAAGCAAUCCACCUGCCUUGACCUCCCAAACUGCUGGGAUUACAGGUGUGAGCCACUGUGCCUGGCCCCGUACCAGUUAUUUUAACAGAGAGAAUUUAGUAUGGCCCAGGCGCAGUGGUUCAAGCCUGUAAUCCCAGCACUUUGUGAGGCUGAGCAGGGAGGAUCACUUGGACCCAGGAGUUUGAGACCAGCCUGGGCAACAUAUUGAGAGUCCACUUAAGAAAAAGAAUUUAAUAUAAAGAACUUUUUUCUUUUCUUUUUUUUUUUUUUGAGAUAGAUGGAGUCUCACUCUGUUGCCCAGGCUGGAGUGCUGUGGCGUGAUCCCAGCUCACCGCAACAUACGCCUCCUGGAAUCAAGCACCUCUCCCGCCUCAGCCUCCGGAGCAGCUGGGAUUACAGGCACUCGCUAACACGCCUGGCUAAUUUUUGUAUUUUAGUAGAGGCAGGGUUUCACCAUGUUGACCAGGCUGGUCUCAAACUGCUGACCUCAAGUGAUCCCCUGUCCUCGGGCUCCCAAAGUGCUGGGAUUACAGGCAUGAGCCACCACGCCUGGCCGAGAAUUGUUAACUAGGAAUCAAGUUGAUAACCAGGCAACUAAAAAGGAAAAAAAAACAACAAAACAAAACCAACCCAACAACAAUAUUAAUGUAUCACAGAAGAAGCAACUGAAGGAAACAGCUAUACUCAGAGGUCUGGGGGAACAAUGAGAAAAGGUUGGCAUUAACACUUAGAAUCAGCCAAGUGCAGUGGCUCAUAUCUGUAAUCCCAGAGACUCAGGAGACCAAGGUGGGAGGAUUGCUUGAAGCCAGGAGUUUGAGACUAGACUGGGCAACAUAGUGAGACCCUGUCUCUACAAAACAUAAUAAAAUUGGCCAGGCAGAGUGGCAUUCACCUGUGGUCCCAGCUACUCGGGAGGUUGAGGUAGGAGGAUCACUAGAGCCCAGUUACAGUGAGUAUGACUCACUGUAACUACACUCCACUACACUCCAGCCUGGGAGACAGAGUGAGACCCUGUCUCAAACAAACAAACAAACAAACCAAAAAAUCACUAGAAUAAUAGGAGAAAAGUGCCCUGCAAACUGAAACUCAGAUCUCUAAGGAGGGACGGGGGUUGGAGUCUUUGAGGGGUGCAAUUAGACUGGUUCUGCCAGUGUUAGGAAAACUGCAAACUGGAUUGAGAUGCUGCUAUGGGAAGGAACUGCCAUUGCAGGAGAAAGGAAGCCUUGCUAGGAGAGUGUUCACAGGAACAGAAAGAGCAAGUUCCUUUUUCCUCCAGCCUUGCAGUUCCCCUCUAACACCCCCAUGGGUAGAACCUCACAGGAAGCAGCUGGAACAGCAGAAAUAUGCUUUUCCCAAUUCCAACUCUUGUAUCACAAAGCAGAAUACAGAAGGUUGGGUUUGGAGUUGAGAGAUAACAACUAAAUAAUAGCUGGCACAAGGCCCACCUGAUCAGAAAUUAAUCUCACCUCCUUGGGGAUAAGGGCUUUGGGUGGGAGGAAAGGAGGCUCUUGAACUCAUGGGCAUUGAGCACGUGACUAGUUGUCUUAGAGAAAAUGUGCCACCCUGCAGGGCCGCCUGAAAGCUUGUACAAGUGCCUGAGGAAAGCCGGAUUUGGCAGGCUGCAACCACGGUGGAUGACAGCUGAAGGAGAAUUACAGCAGCAGCAAUCAGUUGCUCUGGGGGAAGCCAGCUGUCAUGUGACAAACAGCUCUCCACAGAGGAUUAUGGGGCAUGUAACUGAGGCCUCCAGCCAGCGGCCACGUCAGUGAGUUUGGAAAUAGGUCCUCUAGCCCAGUUGAGCCUUCAGAAGACGACAUGAGGAUUUGCUGCAGUUCUGCCCAACAUCUUGAUUUCAAGCUCAUGAGACAGCCUAAGCCCAAACCACCCAGCUAAGCCAUUCCUAGAUUCCUGACCCAAAGAAACUAUGUGAGAUUAUGUGUCUGGUAUUUUAAGCACUAAGUUCUGGGAUAAUUUGUUUUGAAGCAAUAGUUAAGAAAUACAAUGAGAUAACACUAAACGCAAUGAGAGAGCACUAAACACUAUACUUGGUGUAGAUAAGGUCAUGGAGCCACAGGAAUGCUCAUUUUGUGCUAGUGGAAAAGGAAAUUGGAAAAACCAUUUUGCAAUGUAUAACCAGGUGGCAAUAUCUACAGUUUUAAAGCUAUGCCUAUUAUAUGAUCUCACAGUUCCACUUCUAGGUAUAUAGUGCAUGAUCCUGUGCACAGGAGACAUGCACAUGAAUAUUCAUAGCAGGAAUGUUUGUAGUAGCCUCAAAUUGGAAACCAUCCACAUAUCCAUCAGUAAUGGAAUGGAUAAAUAAGUUUUGGUAGCAGUUGAGCCUUGAACAACACGAGUUUAAACUAUGUGGGUCCACUUAAUAUGCACAUUUUCUGGGUCCACUUAUAUGCAGAUUUUCUUCUACCUCUGCUACCCCUGAGAUGGUAAGACCAUCUUCCUUGAUCCACUUCCACAGUAAAUACAUUUUCUCUUUCUUAUGAUUUUCUUAAUAUCAUUUUCUUUUCCCUAAGCUUACUUGAUUGUAAGUGUACAGUAUGUGAUAAAAAUAACAUGCAAAAUAUGUGUUAAUCAACUGUUAAUGAUCAGUUAAUACUUCUGGUGAACAGUAGGCUGUAAGUAGUUAAGUUUUGGGGAAGUCAAAAGCAUAUGCAGAUAUUUGACUGUGUGGGGUGUUGGUAUCCCUAACCUCGUGCAUUGUUCAAGGGUCAAUUGUAUUUGUACAAUAAAAUGUUAUACAGCAAGGGUUGGAAGAUUUGUUCUGUUAAGGGCCAGAGAGUCAAUAUUUUAGGCUUUAAGGGCUGUACAGUCUCUGUCAUACCUAGUCAACUCUGCUGUUGUAGUAUGUAAGCAGCCACAGAGAAUAGGGAAAUGAAUAAGCAUGGCUAUAUUUCAAUUAUACUUUAUUUACAAAACAGAUGGGGAACUGGAUUUGGCACAGGGGCCACAGUUUUCUGACCAUUACUCUAUAAUAUUGAGAGUAAAAGGGGCCAGGUGCAGUGGCUCACAUCUGUGAUCCCAGCACUUUGGGAGGCUGAGGCAGGAGGAUUGCUUGAGGCCAGUAGAUCAAGACCAGUCUGGGCAACAUGGCGAGACCCCAUGAUAUGGUUUGGAUGUGUGUCCCUCCUCAAAUCUCAUGUCAAAUUGUAAUUCCCAGUGUUGGAGGAGAGGCCUGGUGGGAGGUGAUUGGAUCAUGGGGACAGGCUUUCCCCUUGCUGUUCUUGUGAUAGUGAGUUCUCAUGAGAUCUGGUUGUUUAAAAGUGUGUGGCACCUCCCCCUUCUCUCUCUUCUUCCUGCUCUGGCCACAUAAGACAAGCCUACUUCCACUUCACCUUCUGUCAUGAUUGUAAGUUUCCUGAGGCUUCCCCCACCAUGCUUCCUGUAGAGCCUACAGAACCAUGAGCCAAUAAACCUCUUUUCUUUAUAAAUUACCCAGUCUCAGGUAUUUCUUCAUAGCAGUGUGAGAAUGGACUAAUAUACCCCAUCUCUACAAAAAAAUUUAAAAAAUUAGCCAGGUGUGGUGGUGUGUGCUUGUGGUCCCAGCUACUUGGGAGGCUGAGAUGGGAGGAUCUUUUUAGCCCAGGAUGUGGAGGCUGCAGUGAGCCAUGCUCAGGAUUUUAGUCUGUUCUCACGCUGCUAAUAAAGACAUACCUGAGACUGGGUAAUUUAUAAAGGAAAGAGGUUUGAUGGACUCACAGUUCCACGUGGCUGAGGAGGCCUCACAAUUAUGGUAGAAGGUGAAGGAGGAGCAAAAUCAUGUCUUACAGGGCGGCAGGCAAGAGAGCAUGUGCCAGGAAACUGCCCUUUAUAAAACCAUCAGAUCUCACGAGACUUAUGCACUAUCAUGAGAACAGCACGAGAAAGAUCUGCCUCCAUGAUUCAAUUACCUCCCACAGCGUCCCUCCCAUGACACACGGGAAUUAUGAGAGUUACAAUUCAAGAUGAGAUUUGGGUGGGGACACAGCCAAACCAUAUCACUCAGGUUGGGUGACAGAGCAAGGCCCUGUCUCAAAAAAAUAAACAAGUAAAAUAAUAAAAAAAGAGAGAAUGAAAGAGCCCAGGUACAAACAAGAACAUAGAUAAGUCUUUGAAAAGUAUUGAAUGAAAGAAAUCGGACAUAAAAUAUGUACUCCUAUUUAUAAAAAGUUCAAAAGCAUGAAAAAUGAGACGAUAUUGUUGAGGGAGCAUCUUGAGGAGGUGAAACUAGAAGGCAAAACAAGGAAUUGAGUCUUUAAAAUGCCAGGAUUGUUGUUACUUUGGAGGGUAGAUAGGGGUGUGUAAUUGAGAAGGGGUACCUAAGGGACUCAUGGGGUGCUGGCAAUAACCUUAUUUAUUAAUCUGUUGGGGGUUUCACAGGUGUUUAUACAAUCUGGUAAGUUGUAUAUUUGUGUUUUGUGUUCUUUUCUGUAUUUGCAUUCUAUUUCUCAAUAAAUUGUUGAAGAAAAAUGAAUAUUAAGA
rnacentral:lncRNA from 10 species